AGUGAACGCUGGCGGCGUGCUUAACACAUGCAAGUCGAACGAGAACGGAUUAUAGCUUGCUAUAAUUGUCAGCUAAGUGGCGCACGGGUGAGUAAUGUAUAGGUAAUAUGCCUCUUACUAAGGGAUAACAAAUGGAAACGUUUGCUAAUACCUUAUACUCCUUAUUAACAGAAGUUAAUAAGGGAAAGAUUUAUUGGUAAGAGAUUAGCCUGUAUUGUAUCAGUUAGUUGGUGGGGUAAUGGCUUACCAAGACUAUGACACAUAACUGGUUUGAGAGGAUGAUCAGUCACACUGGAACUGAGACACGGUCCAGACUCCUACGGGAGGCAGCAGUGGGGAAUAUUGCACAAUGGACGAAAGUCUGAUGCAGCAACGCCGCGUGGAGGAUGACACAUUUCGGUGCGUAAACUCCUUUUANAUUGAGAAGAUAAAUGACGGUAUUAUAUGAAUAAGCACCGGCUAACUCGUGCCAGCAGCCGACGG
rnacentral:rRNA from 1 species